AACGAACGCUGGCGGCAUGCCUAACACAUGCAAGUCGAACGAGACCUUCGGGUCUAGUGGCGCACGGGUGCGUAACGCGUGGGAAUCUGCCCUUGGGUUCGGAAUAACUUCGGGAAACUGAAGCUAAUACCGGAUGAUGACGUAAGUCCAAAGAUUUAUCGCCCAAGGAUGAGCCCGCGUAGGAUUAGCUAGUUGGUGAGGUAAAGGCUCACCAAGGCGACGAUCCUUAGCUGGUCUGAGAGGAUGAUCAGCCACACUGGGACUGAGACACGGCCCCAGACUCCUACGGGAGGCAGCAGUGGGGAAUAUUGGACAAUGGGCGAAAGCCUGAUCCAGCAAUGCCGCGUGAGUGAUGAAGGCCUAGGGUUGUAAAAGGCUCUUUUUACCCGGGAUGAUAAUGACAGUACCGGGAGAAUAAGCUCCGGCGUAAACUCCGUGCCAGCAGCCGCGGUAAUGU
rnacentral:rRNA from 1 species